CCUACGGGUGGCAGCAGUGGGGAAUAUUGCACAAUGGACGCAACCCUGACCCAGCGAUACCGCGUGAAUGAUGACGGUCUUCGGAUUGUAAAGCUCUGUAAUCAGGGAAGAAUAAAAUGACGGUACCUGUGGAAUAAGCUCCGGCUAACUAAGUGCCAGCAGCCGCGGUAAUACGUGGGGAGCGAGCGUUGUUCGGAGUGACAGGGCGUGUAGAGUGCGUAGGCGGUUAUACAAGUCAGAAGUGAAAUGCCCAGGGCUUAACUCGGGUGCUGCGUCGAGGACUGUAAGACUUGAGUGCAGUAGAGGAGAGUGGAACUCCUGGUGUAGCGGUGGAAUGCGCAGAUAUUAGGAGGAACACCAGAGGCGAAGGCGGGUAACUGGACUGUAACUGACGCUGAGGAGCGAAAGCGUGGGGAGCGAACAGGAUUAGAUACCCUGGUAGUC
rnacentral:rRNA from 1 species